rnacentral:rRNA from 1 species
CGUUGCCUAUGGGACGCAGCAGUGAGGAAUAUUGGUCAAUGGGCUUACGCCUGAACCAGCCAAGUCGCGUGAGGGAAGACUGCCCUAUGGGUUGUAAACCUCUUUUGUCAGGGAGCAACGCCGGCUACGUGUAGCCGGACUGAGAGUACCUGAAGAACAAGCAUCGGCUAACUCCGUGCCAGCAGCCGCGGUAAUACGGAGGAUGCGAGCUUUAUCCGGAUUUAUUGGGUUU